CCUACGGGAGACUGCAGUGAGGAAUAUUGGUCAAUGGACGAGAGUCUGAACCAGCCAAGUAGCGUGAAGGAUGACUGCCCUAUGGGUUGUAAACUUCUUUUAUAUGGGAAUAAAAUGUUCCACGUGUGGGAUUUUGUAUGUACCAUAUGAAUAAGGAUCGGCUAACUCCGUGCCAGCAGCCGCGGUAAUACGGAGGAUCCGAGCGUUAUCCGGAUUUAUUGGGUUUAAGGGGAGCGUAGGUGGAUUGUUAAGUCAGUUGUGAAAGUUUGCGGCUCAACCGUAAAAUUGCAGUUGAAACUGGCAGUCUUGAGUACAGUAGAGGUGGGCGGAAUUCGUGGUGUAGCGGUGAAAUGCUUAGAUAUCACGAAGAACUCCGAUUGCGAAAGCAGUUCACUGGACUGCAACUGACACUGAGGCUCGAAAGUGUGGGUAUCAAACAGGAUUAGAUACCCGAGUAGUC
rnacentral:rRNA from 1 species